rnacentral:rRNA from 1 species
CUACGGGGUGCAGCAGUCGAGAAUCAUCCGCAAUGGGCGAAAGCCUGACGGUGCAAUGCCGCGUGGGGGAUGAAGGCCCUCGGGUCGUAAACCCCUGUCAGGAGGGACGAAGAAGUGACGGUACCUCCAGAGGAAGCCACGGCUAACUACGUGCCAGCAGCCGCGGUAAUACGUAGGUGGCGAGCGUUAUUCGGAUUUACUGGGCGUAAAGGGUCCGCAGGGGGUUUGCCAAGUCUGGUGUGAAAUCUCACAGCUCAACUGUGAAACUGCGCUGGAUACUGGUGAACUAGAGUGCGCGAGGGGUGAGUGGAAUUCCUGGUGUAGCGGUGGAAUGCGCAGAUAUCAGGAAGAACACCAACGGCGAAGGCAGCUCACUGGCGCGCAACUGACCCUCAUGGACGAAAGCGUGGGUAGCAAACAGGAUUAGAUACCCUUGUAGUC